CAGUAGCCGCGGGAAUACAGAGGGUGCGAGCGUUAAUCGGAUUUACUGGGCGUAAAGCGUGCGUAGGCGGCUUUUUAAGUCGGAUGUGAAAUCCCUGAGCUUAACUUAGGAAUUGCAUUCGAUACUGGGAAGCUAGAGUAUGGGAGAGGAUGGUAGAAUUCCAGGUGUAGCGGUGAAAUGCGUAGAGAUCUGGAGGAAUACCGAUGGCGAAGUCAGCCAUCUGGCCUAAUACUGACGCUGAGGUACGAAAGCAUGGGGAGCAAACAGGAUUAGAGACCCCGGUAGUCCCUGUCUCUUAUAC
rnacentral:rRNA from 1 species